rnacentral:rRNA from 1 species
GGCAGCCGCGGUAAUUCCAGCUCCAAUAGCGUAUAUUAAAGUUGUUGCAGUUAAAAAGCUCGUAGUUGAAUUUCGGGAUCAAUAUUUCGGUCAUGCCGUUGGUAUGCACUGUUAUCAUUGAUUUCUCACCUUCUAAAGAACCGUAAUGCCAUUAAUUUGGUGUUACGGGGAAUUAGGACUGUUACCUUGAAAAAAUUAGAGUGUUUAAAGCAGGCUCACGCUUGAAUACAUUAGCAUGGAAUAAUGAAAUAGGACAUCCGAUUCUAUUUUGUUGGUUU